rnacentral:rRNA from 1 species
GAUGAACGCUGGCGGCGUGCCUAAUACAUGCAAGUAGAACGCUGAAGCUUGGUGCUUGCACCGAGCGGAUGAGUUGCGAACGGGUGAGUAACGCGUAGGUAACCUGCCUCUUAGCGGGGGAUAACUAUUGGAAACGAUAGCUAAUACCGCAUAAAAGUCGAUAUCGCAUGAUAUUGAUUUGAAAGGUGCAAAUGCAUCACUAAGAGAUGGACCUGCGUUGUAUUAGCUAGUUGGUGAGGUAACGGCUCACCAAGGCGACGAUACAUAGCCGACCUGAGAGGGUGAUCGGCCACACUGGGACUGAGACACGGCCCAGACUCCUACGGGAGGCAGCAGUAGGGAAUCUUCGGCAAUGGGGGCAACCCUGACCGAGCAACGCCGCGUGAGUGAAGAAGGUUUUCGGAUCGUAAAGCUCUGUUGUAAGAGAAGAACGAGUGUGAGAGUGGAAAGUUCACACUGUGACGGUGACUUACCAGAAAGGGACGGCUAACUACGUG